rnacentral:rRNA from 1 species
AGAGUUUGAUCCUGGCUCAGGACGAACGCUGGCGGCGUGCCUAAUACAUGCAAGUAGAACGCUGAAGUCUGGUGCUUGCACUAGACGGAUGAGUUGCGAACGGGUGAGUAACGCGUAGGUAACCUGCCUCAUAGCGGGGGAUAACUAUUGGAAACGAUAGCUAAUACCGCAUAACAGUAUUUACCGCAUGGUAGAUAUUUUGAAAGGAGCAAUUGCUUCACUAUGAGAUGGACCUGCGUUGUAUUCUCUAGUUGGUGAGGUAACGGCUCACCAAGGCUUCGAUACAUAGCCGACCUGAGAGGGUGAUCGGCCACACUGGGACUGAGACACGGCCCAGACUCCUACGGGAGGCAGCAGUAGGGAAUCUUCGGCAAUGGGGGCAACCCUGACCGAGCAACGCCGCGUGAGUGAAGAAGGUUUUCGGAUCGUAAAGCUCUGUUGUAAGAGAAGAACUGUGAGAAGAGUGGAAAGUUUCUCACUUGACGGUAUCUUACCAGAAAGGGACGGCUAACUACGUGCCAGCAGCCGCGGUAAUACGUAGGUCCCGAGCGUUGUCCGGAUUUAUUGGGCGUAAAGCGAGCGCAGGCGGUUUGAUAAGUCUGAAGUAAAAGGCUGUGGCUUAACCAUAGUACGCUUUGGAAACUGUCAAACUUGAGUGCAGAAGGGGAGAGUGGAAUUCCAUGUGUAGCGGUGAAAUGCGUAGAUAUAUGGAGGAACACCGGUGGCGAAAGCGGCUCUCUGGUCUGUAACUGACGCUGAGGCUCGAAAGCGUGGGGAGCGAACAGGAUUAGAUACCCUGGUAGUCCACGCCGUAAACGAUGAGUGCUAGGUGUUGGGUCCUUUCCGGGACUCAGUGCCGCAGCUAACGCAUUAAGCACUCCGCCUGGGGAGUACGACCGCAAGGUUGAAACUCAAAGGAAUUGACGGGGGCCCGCACAAGCGGUGGAGCAUGUGGUUUUAUUCGAAAGCACGCGAAAAACCCUUACCAGGUCUUGACAUCCCGAUGACCCCCCCUAGAGAUAGGGUUUCUCUUCGGAGCAUUCGUGAAAGGGGGGGGCAUGGUUUGUCCUCAGCUCCGGUCCUGAGAAAGUGGGGUAAAGUCCCCCAACCAGCCCCACCCCCUAUUGUUAGUUGCCCUUCUUUCAUUUGGGCCCCUCUAACCAAGACUUCCCGGAAAAAAAACCCGAAGGAAAGGGGGGGGAAUAAACUCAAAAACCAUCAUGUCCCCCUUUAUAAACCUGGGGGUUAAACCCCCUGUCCUAAAAAAAGGGCUUGGGGAACAAACCAAAGGCCCCAAAAGUUCCGGGUGAAACCGGCCAAAAACAUAAAAAUCUCUUUUUUAAAAAACCCCCACGUCCCCCCAAAAAGUUUCGGGAAAAAUUUGUUGGAGGGGCGCGGCGCGGACACCCUCCCUCCCCCCCCCCUCCCACAACCACAAAAAGAAAGAAAUUAGGAGCCAGCCGCCUAAGGUGGGAUAGAUGAUUGGGGUGAAGUCGUAACAAGGUAGCCGUAUCGGAAGGUGCGGCUGGAUCACCU